AACAGGGAUUGCUCUAGUAACGGCGAGUGAAGCAGCAAUAGCUCAAAUUUGAAAUCUGGCGUCUUCGACGUCCGAGUUGUAAUUUGUAGAGGAUGCUUCUGAGUAACCACCGACCUAAGUUCCUUGGAACAGGACGUCAUAGAGGGUGAGAAUCCCGUAUGCGGUCGGAAAGGUGCUCUAUACGUAGCUCCUUCGACGAGUCGAGUUGUUUGGGAAUGCAGCUCUAAAUGGGAGGUAAAUUUCUUCUAAAGCUAAAUAUUGGCCAGAGACCGAUAGCGCACAAGUAGAGUGAUCGAAAGAUGAAAAGCACUUUGGAAAGAGAGUUAAAAAGCACGUGAAAUUGUUAAAAGGGAAGGGAUUGCAACCAGACUUGCUCGCGGUGUUCCGCCGGUCUUCUGACCGGUCUACUCGCCGCGUUGCAGGCCAGCAUCGUCUGGUGCCGCUGGAUAAGACUUGAGGAAUGUAGCUCCCUCGGGAGUGUUAUAGCCUCUUGUGAUGCAGCGAGCGCCGGGCGAGGUCCGCGCUUCGGCUAGGAUGCUGGCGUAAUGGUCGUAAUCCGCCCGUCUUGAAACACGGGACCA
rnacentral:rRNA from 1 species